rnacentral:rRNA from 1 species
AGUGAACGCUGGCGGUAGGCCUAACACAUGCAAGUCGAACGGCAGCACAGUAAGAGCUUGCUCUUACGGGAGGCGAGUGGCGGACGGGUGAGGAAUACAUCGGAAUCUACUUUUUCGUGGGGGAUAACGUAGGGAAACUUACGCUAAUACCGCAUACGACCUACGGGUGAAAGCAGGGGAUCUUCGGACCUUGCGCGAUUGAAUGAGCCGAUGUCGGAUUAGCUAGUUGGCGGGGUAAAGGCCCACCAAGGCGACGAUCCGUAGCUGGUCUGAGAGGAUGACCAGCCACACUGGGACUGAGACACGGCCCAGACUCCUACGGGAGGCAGCAGUGGUGAAUCUUGCGCAAUGGGCGAAAGCCUGACGCAGCCAUGCCUCGUGAAUGAUGAAGGUCUUAGGAUUGUAAAAUUCUUUCACCGGGGACGAUAAUGACGGUACCCGAAUAAUAAGCCCCGGCUAACUUCGUG